rnacentral:lncRNA from 1 species
GCUUCCCAAGUGGUACUCGAGAAACCGUCUGGGGCAGGGUCUCCCACACAUGUUGUGCCUAAUUCUAGUAGUGGCAUACCCACAGCCGCUAUUACGACUUCAGCAUCUCAGGAUGAGCCUUGCAUCGUUCGCACCCCUGCGUCUGGUGCUUCAAUUGUCCCUCUGCAUGAUGACUCGACUCAUGCAACUGGCGGACAGCAACCUUCUUCACCUGUGGGCUCGGGGAGGAGUGAUAUGCCUCUUGAUCAGGUUCGCCCAGCAUCAGACUCAACAGUCGAGCUCACUGAAGCUCCUACGGGCAAGCGAGGCAGAGGGCGUCCUAAGGGCGCUACCAAGCAAGUCGGGAAAGGGGGGUUUCUGAUACCUCUUUAAAGCACAGGUUACGACAUCCUGCUAUUCCAGGCUCCAAUAUUAGUAGACCUUCGGAUAUUUCGAUUUUUCCGAGUAAGAUCCAAGAAGCCACGGCCAAAGGUCUUCCUCAACGUUGGGGGGACAUCAUGGAUUCUGAUAUUCAUACGGUCUCUUCUCAACGUUGGGGGGACAUCAUGGAUUCUGAUAUUCAUACGGUCUCUUCUCAACGUUGGGGGGACAUCAUGGAUUCUUAUAUUCAUACGGAGGAUGAUGCUCUUGACUUUUGAUUGUCUAGGGGUUCCUGCUCUGGAGCUCCUGCACAUUUCUUGACUCUUUUUUCCUCUCACGAUUGUUUUUCCCUCUGGGUCCUCGCCGUUUUAGUUUCGUAGCCCGUUAGUUUGCGUCUGUUGUGCCUUCAACGGGUUUUCUCUGUUAUUUUCGUUUUUCUUUUUCUCAAUAAAAUUUCAAUUCAGCAA